rnacentral:rRNA from 2 species
GGAAAAGAAACUAACAAGGAUUCCCCUAGUAACUGCGAGUGAAGCGGGAAAAGCUCAAAUUUAAAAUCUGGCGGUCUUCGGCCGUCCGAGUUGUAGUCUGGAGAAGUGCUUUCCGCGCUGGACCGUGUAUAAGUCUCUUGGAACAGAGCGUCAUAGAGGGUGAGAAUCCCGUCUUUGACACGGACUACCAGUGCUUUGUGAUGCGCUCUCAAAGAGUCGAGUUGUUUGGGAAUGCAGCUCAAAAUGGGUGGUGAAUUCCAUCUAAAGCUAAAUAUUGGCGAGAGACCGAUAGCGAACAAGUACCGUGAGGGAAAGAUGAAAAGCACUUUGGAAAGAGAGUUAAACAGUACGUGAAAUUGCUGAAAGGGAAACGCUUGAAGUCAGUCGCGUCGUCCAGAACUCAGCCUCGCUCUCGCUUGGUGCACUUUCUGGAUGACGGGCCAGCAUCGAUUUUGACCGUCGGAAAAGGGCUGGGGUAAUGUGGCACCUCCGGGUGUGUUAUAGACUGCAGUCGCAUACGACGGUCGGGAUCGAGGUUCGCAGCGCGCCGCAAGGCAGGGGUUCGCCCACUUUCGCGCUUAGGAUGCUGGCAUAAUGGCUUUAAAC